GAUCCUGGCUCAGGAUGAACGCUAGCUACAGGCUUAACACAUGCAAGUCGAGGGGCAGCAUGGUCUUAGCUUGCUAAGGCCGAUGGCGACCGGCGCACGGGUGAGUAACACGUAUCCAACCUGCCGUCUACUCUUGGACAGCCUUCUGAAAGGAAGAUUAAUACAAGAUGGCAUUUUCAUGAGUUCGCAUGUUCACAUGAUUAAAGGUAUUCCGGUAGACGAUGGGG
rnacentral:rRNA from 1 species